UACGAAGGGUGCAAGCGUUGUUCGGAUUUAUUGGGCGUAAAGAGCUCGUAGGCGGGAAUGAAAGUCAAGUGUGAAAUCCUAGGGCCUAACCCUAGAACUGCGCCUGAAACUACAUUUCUAGAAUGUCGGAGAGGGAAGUGGAAUAUCGCAUGUAGGGGUAAAAUCCGUAGAGAUGCGAUGGAACACCAGAGGCGAAGGCGACUUCCUGGACGACUAUUGACGCUGAGGAGCGAAAGCGUGGGGAGCAAACAGG
rnacentral:rRNA from 1 species